CUUUAUGUAUGGUAACGGUUAGUCAAAAUUUUUGGCUUUUGCAACAGUUUUACUUUCCCCCCAUAAUUUCCCUCUUCUAAUUUCACUAAACUCAAUUUUACUAGCACCUAGCCUUUUAUUUAAUUCCUAAAACUUGUCCUGUUAACCUUAGAACAUAUCAAAAUAUCCAUAUACCUUCUCGUAGCUUUGACCCCUUGAAACCCUGACCCCUCCGACGAGUCACUCAUGCAAGGCACUCUGUCAAGGCUAUAGCACAUCUCUUCAAUCUCACAGAGUCUAGGGAAAGUAAUAUUGUGGUAGCGACGAAGAGUCAAAGUCUGGUUCUUUCAGGUUGUCCUUCUUGAAGGGCGUGCUUUAUGGUGCAAGAGUCCCUUUCCUCUGAGAUCCAUGUAUCUGCUACCAGAUGAAGUGAGACCAUCAAAGUUCUCUGUGCUUGCGAAUGUCCAAGCUUCAGCCCAAAACUUGCAUAUAAUCCUUAUAAUGAGCCCAACAUUGAAGUUUUCAGGUUCUAAAAGUAUAUUUGUCUAUUUUGAUGAAACUAUUAUUUUUUGUCAGGUUAAUAUUUUUUUUAAAUGUUGUCUUAUUCCAGCACUUAGUUCAUCUCUGGGACUGCUUUGAAUUUGCAGUUGCGAAGUUUUAUUGACUUCCUUGAUCUGAAUUGCAUUGUUAACCAUUACAACACCAUUUUGAUUGCAAUCAAUAAUCUUUCUUUAACUGGCCAUAUGUAGGGGCUUUAGUUCAUCUCUAGGUUGGAAAAUUUGAUUUAAGUUAUUUUUCGUUAUAAGAGCUGGCAUAUUUAGGGAUGGAUUUGCAAUCAGUGAUCUCUCUUCUAACUGGCCAUAUGUAGAUCCUUUACUUCAUCUCUGGGACAACUUCGAAUUUGCGAAGCUUUAUUGACUUCUUUGAGCUGGAUUGCACUUGAAGUUUCAAGGUACUACUUAGAUUGUAUACUCGAUGUUAAAUUCUUUUAAAAAAUUUACUAAAUCAUUUAUUUUUAUCUUUUAUAAGUGGAUCGAAUGAGCAAAGAGUGGAUGAAAGAGGUAAAAAUAUUGCUUAGAAUUAUGGGGUUAUUCUAAAAAUAUUAGUGUAUUAAGAUAUUUUAGGAAUCUUUUAUUUUGGAUUUUUAUUACUUUGAGAGCUUAUGUAUGCUUUUGAAUUGUUAGACAAUAGUAUAAAGUUUAUUUUUA